UGUUUUCUCAACUGUAAAAUGGGGAUAAUACUAGCACGGUUGUUGUGAACAUCAAGUAAGAUCACAUUUGUAAAGUGCUUAGCACAAUGCCUGGCACAUAGUAGGCACCAUAUAAACAUUUACACCCUCCUCCUGCCUCCUGACAGCAUAGAAGCCUCAUCGUGGGAUUAUUUUACCUGGGUAGAAGAAGUUUUUCAUAACCUUGUUCUGCCAUGAGUCAGACCAACAAGGAAGUAAUCCUGAGGGAAGGCUUGGUGCCCAGGAUGCAAAACUUGCUGUCAUUUAGGACAAACGAGAGAAAUGGACAGAGAUCUCUUCCUUCCAAAGGAGAAAAAGAGGGCACAGAAACAUCACAGAGGUCAGUCUUAUUCUGUAGUGUUGGUUGGCAUCUAAUCCUGCACAUUGUCUCUGGCAGAUGACCCACCAAUGACACAAUGCCCUGUUUGGGCACCACCAGGGGAAAAAAGUCUGGCAGUGGAAAAGUGGGCAGAGGGAGGGAUGCCCUUAGGAAAGACAUGGACCUUUACUCUGUCACAAAGGACCAAAGGAAGCCUGGCCCCCUCACUUUACCAGCACAUUUCCCCUUGCUUGCUUCACUAGCCCAGUGAGAAAAGAUUCCCCCACCUGACUUCUGUUCUAUCAUCCUGUUCUAGGGUGGAGUCAUGGAGAGACCUUGAGCUGUAAGUGAAGUGAGCAGAACCAGUAGAACAUUGUACCCAGUAACAGCAACAUUGUAUGAUGAUCAGCUGUGAAUGACUUAGCUUUUCUCAGCAAUGCAAUGAUCCAAGACAAUCCCAAAGGACUUGUGAUGAAAAAUGCUACCUGCCUCCAGAGAAAACUGAUGAAGUCUGAAUGCAGAUCAAAGCACACUAUUUUCAUUUAACUUCGUGUGUGGUUUUUUUUCUUUUGGUUUAUGUCUUCUUUCACCACACAACUAGUAUGGAAAUAUGUUUUGUAUGAUUGAACACAUAUAAUCUAUAUCAAAUUUCUUACCAUCUCAGGGAGAGGGGAGGUAAGGGAGGGAGAGAGAAACUUUGGAACUCAAAUUUUAGAAAAAAUAACUGUUAAAAAUUGUCUUUACAUGUAAUUGGGGAAA
rnacentral:lncRNA from 1 species